CAGUUCCAAAAACAGAGCCAGAGGAUGAUGAUGGCUUCUACAAAUGAGCUGAAUGAAUGUGAAAGUACAAGGGAUCGAACACAGGACCUUGUGCUUGUGAGGCAGGCACAGUGCCACUGAGCUAAAUCCCCAGCCCUAAAGAUUGCUAUUAACAAGGCUCUUUGGACAUUGACAAAAGCAAAUGAUUGGAAGAAUCCAUUGCAAGACACAGAUAUGAUAUGGCUCAGAGAUUGUAACUUCAAGAGUUCUCAAAUGCCCCUGAGACACCCUUGGAAUCUUGACAGAAACACAGAACCUGAGUCUGCUGUCCCUGACCUGCUGAAUUCAAAUUUUCACUGUCACAAAAUCCACAGUACCAGGGCUUGAACUCGGGACCUUGCACUUGUGAGGAAGGCGAGAUGCCACUGAACUAAAUCCCUGGCCUUACAAAGAUUUGUUUUUAAUCACAAGGCAU
rnacentral:lncRNA from 1 species